GGAGACAUAGCUUGAUUGGGAAAGUGUUUGCCUUGCAAGCAUGAAGAUCUGAGUUCAAUUCCCAGUACCG
rnacentral:tRNA from 1 species